GUUCGUGUUUUGGUGAUUUGGCUCCGAUCAACCUGUAGGGAAAAGAAUGGUAAUCACGGUGAUAUAAAAAUUGUAUCAAACGGAGGCCGGGAAGGGCCUCAUCGGAGGCAAAAACCAAGGAGGGGCGCGGCGGCACCGUUGGGUUUCGGCUGUGUUUUCCGGCCGAUUGGCCAAAAUUUUGGCUCUGAUUUGGCCACAGGAAAACUCAGCAUUGAAAAAGGAGUCGGGAGAAUGAAAUUUACCUCGAUCAGCGGUCGGAAAACUCCCCGGUGCGGCGGCGGGUGGCGGCAGCCGGCUCCUCCAACGUCUGGUUCGUCUUCUCCGGCGAGGGCAGGCGGCUAGGGUUUUUUGUGGUCAGGUGUGGGGAUUCUAUUUAUACCCUUUUGUCUUUUGAUCACAGCCGUCCAUUUUGAUUAAAUCUGGGCCGUCCGUGCGCACGCUUAAACUGGGCCGUCCGUGCGCGCGGGGACGCAUCUGGGCCGUCCGAUCGCGCGCACGCGGAUCGCCCACGUGGCAUGU
rnacentral:lncRNA from 1 species